rnacentral:misc_RNA from 1 species
AAAGUCGUAACAAGGUUUCCGUAGGUGAACCUGCGGAAGGAUCAUUACUGAAUGACGUGUGCCUGGUUGUGGUAGACCAUUUCCUGCCAUGGUAUGAUGGUCAGAUGUUGGACCAGCCGGGGAUUUGGCUACCAUUUCAUGCAUUUUCACCCAACAAAUCUGUCUUUGAAUGUAUCGCAUUAAAGCGUAAAAUAUAAAUAUAACUUUCAACAACGGAUCUCUUGGCUCUC